CGACCUACGGGACGCAGCAGUGAGGAAUAUUGGUCAAUGGGCGGAAGCCUGAACCAGCCAAGUCGCGUGAGUGAAGAAGUAUCUCGGUACGUAAAGCUCUAUCAGCAGGGAAGAAAAAAAGUCCUUUGGACUUUGGACGGUACCUGACCAAGAAGCCCCGGCUAACUACGUGCCAGCAGCCGCGGUAAUACGUAGGGGGCAAGCGUUAUCCGGAUUUACUGGGUGUAAAGGGAGCGUAGACGGCAGCGCAAGUCUGGAGUGAAAUGCCGGGGCCCAACCCCGGAACUGCUUUGGAAACUGUGCAG
rnacentral:rRNA from 1 species